rnacentral:ncRNA from 1 species
CUUCGCCUCCGCCUCCUGCGGUGACGGAGACGGUGACGGUGGUGGUGGUGGUUGCGGUGGCAUCGCUAGGCGCGGUAACGCAAACGAACUCGGAGACGUCGACAAGAGUUCCGGGAAGAGUUAUCUUUUCUUUGUAAGGACGGUCACCACCCCUGGAAUCGGGUUGUCCGGAGAUAGGGGUAUCACCUCCGUAAAGCACCACCCCUCUUGUGGUGUCCGGAAGGCUCUUGUGGGCCCUUGAAAAUCCGAGGGAGGCGAUGUUAUUUUCGUGGCAGGCCGUACCCAUAUCCGCAUCAGGUCUCCAAGGUGAAGAGCCUCUGGCAGUAGAAUAAUGUAGGUAAGGGAAGUCGGCACAUUUGAUCCGUAACCUCGGGAAAAGGAUUGGCUCUGAGGGCUGAGUUAAACAGGCUGGAGAAAGAAGCGGCCUCGCUCAGCUUGCAGCUGGUCAAUGGGCUCGCUGUUUGCGUGCGUGCCUGUGUGCAUGCGCGUGGGUGAGUGGGCCUAUGGGCUGGAGGUGAGUAGAGUGAGCCGCGGGCGGA